UACCCAAAGUGCUCCAUAUAGGAGCUGUGGUAGGUGCGUAAUGUUCCCUACUAGAAAGGAGAGGGCAAGGCUGGUGCCAGCCGCCGCGGUAAAACCAGCUCUUCAAGUGGUCGGGAUAAUUAUUGGGCUUAAAGUGUCCGUAGCUGGUAAGGUAAGUUCCUGGUAAAAUUGGGCAGCUUAACUGUCCUUAUGCUAGGAAUACUGCUUUACUAGAGGGCGGGAGAGGUCUGAGGUACUACAGGGGUAGGAGUGAAAUCUUAUAAUCCUUGUAGGACCACCAGUGGCGAAGGCGUCAGACUGGAACGCGCCUGACGGUGAGGGACGAAAGCCAGGGGAGCGAACCGGAUUAGAUACCCGGGUAGUCCUGGCCGUAAACGAUGCACACUAGAUGAUGGUGCGGCCAUGAGCCGUAUCAGUGUCGUAGGGAAACCGUUAAGUGUGCCGCCUGGGAAGUACGGUCGCAAGGCUUAAACUUAAAGGAAUUGGCGGGGGAGCACCACAAGGGGUGAAGCCUGCGGUUCAAUUGGACUCAACGCCGGGCAACUUACCAGGGGAGACAGCAGAAUGAAGGUCAGGUUGACGACCUUACCUAACAAGCUGAGAGGAGGUGCAUGGCCGUCGCCAGUUCGUGCUGUGAGGUAUCCUGUUAAGUCAGGCAACGAACGAGACCCGUGCCUUUAUUUGCCAUCAAGAAGUCACGACUUCGUUGGGAACGAUAAAGGGACUGCCGUCGAUAAGACGGAGGAAGGAGCGGGCAAAGGCAGGUCAGUAUGCCCCGAAACCCCUGGGCUACACGCGGGCUGCAAUGGUGCGAACAAUGGGCUGUGACUCCGACAGGAGAAACCAAUCCCGAAAUCGCAUCUCAGUUGGGAUUGUCAACUGUAACCCGUUGACAUGAACGUGGAAUC
rnacentral:rRNA from 1 species